rnacentral:lncRNA from 1 species
GCGCCCCUGGCCGUUCUGCAUCAAUGUUUGUCUCUUCUUGGCAGCACCCUCGUUUGUUGAGGAGCUCCUGGACCAGGCAGCUGCUGCAGGACAGUGCGUGACGCUGUCGUGCCGGACGGCCCCGCACUCCUCCCUGCACAUCCGCUGGUUCAGAGAUGGGAUGCCAGUCCACAGCAGCAGUCGGAUCCUCAUCUCGUCCACACUCAAGCACUUCCAGCUGUUAACUAUUCUCUCUGUCAGUGCUGAGGAUUUUGGCAUUUACACCUGCGUGGCCACCAGCUCCCUGGGCUCAGCAUCCACCUCUUGCGUUAUAA